CGAGCGUCAUUACAACCCUCAAGCUUUGCUUGGUAUUGGACAUUGCCCGGUUUACCGGCAGGUCUUAAAAUCAGUGGCGGUGCCAUUUGGCUUCAAGCGUAGUAAUUCUUCUCGCUUUGGAGAUCCAGGUGGUUACUUGCCAAUAACCCCCAAUUUUUCAGGUUGACCUCGGAUCAGGUAGGGAUACCCGCUGAACUUAA
rnacentral:misc_RNA from 1 species